ACCGGAUGCGGAUCUCGAAAGCCUGUCCCAGUUCGGACUGGAGUCUGCAACCCGACUCCACGAAGUUGGAUUCGCUAGUAAUCGCGCAUCAGCCAUGGCGCGGUGAAUACGUUCCCGGGCCUUGUACACACCGCCCGUCAAGCCAUGGGAGCCGGGGGGCGCCUGAAGUCCGGGACCGCGAGGACCGGCCUAGGGCGAAACUGGUAACUGGGGCUAAGUCGUAACAAGGUACC
rnacentral:rRNA from 1 species